rnacentral:rRNA from 1 species
CACGUAGGGCGCGAGCGUUGUCCGGAAUUAUUGGGCGUAAAGAGCUCGUAGGCGGCCUGUUGCGUCCGCUGUGAAAGCCCGGGGCUUAACCCCGGGUCGGCAGUGGAUACGGGCAGGCUAGAGGUAGGUAGGGGAGAAUGGAAUUCCCGGUGUAGCGGUGAAAUGCGCAGAUAUCGGGAGGAACACCCGUAGCGAAGGCGGCACUCUGGGCCGGAACUGACGCUGAGGAGCGAAAGCGUGGGGAGCAAACAGG